CUCAGUAACGGCGAGUGAAGCGGUAACAGCUCAAAUUUGAAAUCUGGCUCUUUCAGGGUCCGAGUUGUAAUUUGUAGAAGAUGCUUUGGGUGUGGCCCGGGUCUAAGUUCCUUGGAACAGGACGUCAUAGAGGGUGAGAAUCCCGUAUGUGACUCGGCGCCUUCGCCCGUGUAAAGCUCUUUCGACGAGUCGAGUUGUUUGGGAAUGCAGCUCAAAAUGGGUGGUAAAUUUCAUCUAAAGCUAAAUAUUGGCCAGAGACCGAUAGCGCACAAGUAGAGUGAUCGAAAGAUGAAAAGCACUUUGGAAAGAGAGUUAAACAGUACGUGAAAUUGUUGAAAGGGAAGCGCUUGCAACCAGACUUAGCGGCGGUCGAUCAUCCGGGGUUCUCCCCGGUGCACUCGGUCGCCUCUAGGCCAGCAUCGGUUUGGGUGGUGGGAUAAAGGCCUUGGGAAUGUAGCUUCUCUCGGGGAGUGUUAUAGCCCAAGGUGCAAUGCCGCCUACCCGGACCGAGGACCGCGCUUCGGCUAGGAUGCU
rnacentral:rRNA from 1 species